rnacentral:rRNA from 1 species
UACGUAGGGUGCGAGCGUUAAUCGGAAUUACUGGGCGUAAAGCGUGCGCAGGCGGUUCGUUAAGUCAGAUGUGAAAGCCCCGGGCUCAACCUGGGAACUGCAUUUGAAACUGGCGGGCUUGAGUGUGGCAGAGGGGGUGGAAUUCCGCGUGUAGCAGUGAAAUGCGUAGAGAUGCGGAGGAACACCGAUGGCGAAGGCAGCCCCCUGGGCCAACACUGACGCUCAGGCACGAAAGCGUGGGGAGCAAACAGG